rnacentral:rRNA from 1 species
AGUGAACGCUGGCGGUAGGCCUAACACAUGCAAGUCGAACGGCAGCACAGUAAGAGCUUGCUCUUACGGGUGGCGAGUGGCGGACGGGUGAGGAAUACAUCGGAAUCUACUUUUUCGUGGGGGAUAACGUAGGGAAACUUACGCUAAUACCGCAUACGACCUACGGGUGAAAGCAGGGGAUCUUCGGACCUUGCGCGAUUGAAUGAGCCGAUGUCGGAUUAGCUAGUUGGCGGGGUAAAGACCCACCAAGGCGACGAUCCGUAGCUGGUCUGAGAGGAUGAUCAGCCACACUGGAAGUGAAACACGGUCAAGACUCCUACGGGAGGCAGCAGUGGGGAAUAGUGGACAAUGGGCGCAAGCAUGAUCCAGCCAUACCGCGUGGGUGAAGAAGGCCUUCGGGUUGUAAAGACCUUUUGUUGGGAAAGAAAAGCAGCAGGUUAAUACCCCGCUGUUCUGACGGUAACCAAAGAAUAAGCACCGGCUAACUUCGUG